rnacentral:rRNA from 1 species
CUACGGGGGGCAGCAGUGGGGAAUAUUGCACAAUGGGCGCAAGCCUGAUGCAGCCAUGCCGCGUGUAUGAAGAGGGCCUUCGGGUUGUAAAGUACUUUCAGCGGGGAGGAAGGGAGUAAAGUUAAUACCUUUGCUCAUUGACGUUACCCGCAGAAGAAGCACCGGCUAACUCCGUGCCAGCAGCCGCGGUAAUACGGAGGGUGCAAGCGUUAAUCGGAAUUACUGGGCGUAAAGCGCACGCAGGCGGUUUGUUAAGUCAGAUGUGAAAUCCCCGGGCUCAACCUGGGAACUGCAUCUGAUACUGGCAAGCUUGAGUCUCGUAGAGGGGGGUAGAAUUCCAGGUGUAGCGGUGAAAUGCGUAGAGAUUUGGAGGAAUACCGGUGGCGAAGGCGGCCCCCUGGACGAAGACUGACGCUCAGGUGCGAAAGCGUGGGGAGCAAACAGGAUUAGAUACCCGGGUAGUC